GUUUGAGAUGUUAUCUAUCAAUACAUCUGUGCUCUACAAUUUUUGACACCAUUAUUUGAAUUUAUACCUCAGGUAUGUUAUUUAAUAAUGACAUCAUUGUUAUAUUUUUUUAAUAGUCCUUAAAUCCUAACGACAUGUUUACAAUUUAAGAACCUCUUGUGGUUUUUUUUCACUUUUGCAGUGCGCUCUUGCUGCUAUUGUCAUCUUUGUUGUCACCCAGCAAGCCUGAGUCUGGGGUAAAUCCCACCUCCGAGGUGAUCCCACCUCGCAGACCGCCACCCAGCAAGCCUGAAUCUGGGGGUAAAUCCGCUACCGUAGGGGCAUUGGGAACGAGCAAGACUCGAACCCGCCACCUCCGGGUUAGAAUGCGGGCUGGUGGCCAUUGGGCUGACACCUAAUGGUAUCCUUGUUGGGGAUUAAUCAUCAGCCUCCAACAGUGGUUCCUGGUGGUGAUCUUCCAAAGGUGCAGAGAGUUGUUUAUGAUUUCUAACUCUACAAGUGUGGCUGAGGUUCUCUCACAUUGACCAUAAGUUCAACUUUCUACAAUUUCACUGUAGUUUGUGUUUACCAGGCAUGUCAUUGGCAUCACUGCUGAUGAUGAGUCCCUAGAAAUUGCAUGGUAAUUUAUUGCAUUUAUAUCGUUUAGCAUUCAAGAUUCUUGUAGUUGUAUAAUUGAUAUACACGAUGGAUUU
rnacentral:lncRNA from 1 species